rnacentral:lncRNA from 1 species
UUUUCUAUAAAAUAAGGUCAAUCAGUUUCAAAAUGUCUCACUAAUGACAGCCCAACAGUAUACAAGCUAGCUGACUUAGCUGGAUUUUCCACUUAAAUAUAAUUAUAUUUGGGGAGAAAGUGGAUACAUUUAUUUUCAGAGACUUUCUUCAGGUGUUUUCUGUAUAAAAAGUGGGUACAAUAAAGUGUUUCAAGAAACACUUUCCUUUCACUGGUCUCCUGAUCUUUUUCCUACUUCCUUAGAUCCAUAAAUACUUGUUGAAUAAAUAAGUAAAUGAAUGAAUAUGGAGAUCACAUUAUUUGAGGAUCCAAAGCAACUAAUUGCAAGACAUAAAAUUCCAUUUAAACAAAGAGUCUGCCCAUAGGCACGUCUAAAUGAUGGGAAUAAAUUUCAAGUCCUAGUUUUUUCUUUUGACCAUGCUUGUGUGAUCUUAGUUCUCUGUUAUGGGGAAGUUUCUAAAUUGCCUCAGGAAAAACAUUUUGAAUUGUUCUUUAAGAACUGUUGUCAAGUCCUUCAUUUCAGAUCAAUGGUUUCCAAACUAGGCUUCAUAGCAUACAGAAGUGCUUUUUCCACCUAAAGAUGUAUAUGUGGAUACAUCCUAGAGAACCAACUUGUCAGCUUAUGUGGACAAUUGGUUUUUAUGUUCACCUUCUCCUGCUACCUUAAAGCAUAAACUUAAGCUUACAA